GACGAAGGAUGCAAGCGUUAUCCGGAUUCAUUGGGUUUAAAGGGUGCGUAGGCGGCCCGAUAAGUCAGUGGUGAAAGCCUGUUGCUUAACAACAGAACUGCCAUUGAUACUGUCGGGCUUGAGUACAGAUGCUGUGGGCGGAAUAUGACAUGUAGUGGUGAAAUACAUAGAGAUGUCAUAGAACACCGAUUGCGAAGGCAGCUCACAAAAACUGUAACUGACGCUGAGGCACGAAAGUGCGGGGAUCAAACAGG
rnacentral:rRNA from 1 species